rnacentral:lncRNA from 1 species
UUGGUCGAGGGUGUGAAUUGACAAGAGUGUCCCACUGACCAGUUCCUUCUGCAAAUUUGGGAUCAUGAAUCCCAAUGGAGUUCCUUAGGUAUUCGGGUAGUACUACAGUAUCUAUAAUUGUAAUCAGUAUCAUUCUCCAGAGUAUAAAUUGCGGCCUUUUAUCAUUUCAUACAGCAUCAGAAGCUAAAAUUAUUCAGUACAGUAAUUGAAUUUUAGUAUUCAUUGUUUAAACAACAUUUAUUUAAAGAACUCUUAAUAUAUAAAUGCAAAUAUGGCACCUGAUUUCUCUAUUGAUUGGAGUAAAUUAACUUGUUUUCCAAUAGACCCCGUGCAUGUGAUGGGAAUGAGACCCUAUAUUUUGUGUUAACAUGCAGGUCUGGGUGUCCACAGAGGCUGCCUCCAUACUGUAAAUCCUCUAAAAAGUGCUCCUAGAAAGUCGUGCUUGUUGCAAAUUCACCUAACUUAAGCUUAACAUAUGGGAAAAAAAACAUAAAAUUUAUAGCUUAUAUUUUGAAUGAUGAGCAAUACUAAUGCUUCUAGCAUUGAUGAUAAUUUUCACAUCAGAAUAUGUUUUGAACUGUAAACAUCAUCUCAGCAAAGCUGGUAAUGAGCUUGAGCUUUAUAUGAAAAAAUGGGCUAAAAUGUGUCUACAUCUGUUAUAUGAUGAGUGCCAAGCUGUAGAUUUCAACCAUAAAUUUACAAUAUAAAAUUUUGUUUAUAAUGUGUCUUUCUGCAAGUCUUGAUGUGUAUAUGUAAUGAACUGUAAUACAAAUAAAAUACAGAAUAUUUAAUCAUGUUUAGGCAGCAUAUACUGUAUAUGGAAAGAACACCAAUUUUUCUUAUUAGAAAUGUAAUCAAAGUGGAGAAAAAAUUACAAGUUACUUUCAUUUUACAUUAGUAAAUGUUGACUUAAAUUAAAAAUGUUUUUUGCCACUGCAUCUUUUUUUUUAGAACAACAGCUGGAAGAAACAGAGCAUUUCCUUACUAGAAAUGUAAUUAAAAAUGCAGAUUUAAUUUUUUUUAAGCAUUUCAGGCUGCAAGCAGCCACAUCCAAUUGUCUUGUUGACCAGGAUGCCCCGGCCAUGAGAAUGGUGAUCUGCAAGGUAACUCACAUGGUAGGUGGUGAUCUGCAAGGUAACUCACAUGGUAGGUGGUGAUCUGCAAGGUAACUCACAUGGUAGGUGGUGAUCUGCAAGGUAACUCACAUGAUAGUUGGUGAUCUGCAAGGUAACUCACAUGGUAGGUGGUGAUCUGCAAGGUAACUCACAUGGUAGGUGGUAAUCUGCAAGGUAACUCACAUGGUAGAUGGUGAUCUGCAAGGUAACUCACAUGGUAGGUGGUGAUCUGCAAGGUAACUCACAUGAUAGUUGGUGAUCUGCAAGGUAACUCACAUGGUAGGUGGUGAUCUGCAAGGUAACUCACAUGGUAGGUGGUGAUCUGCAAGGUAACUCACAUGGUAGGUGGUGAUCUGCAAGGUAACUCACAUGGUAGAUGGUGAUCUGCAAGGUAACUCACAUGGUAGGUGGUGAUCUGCAAGGUAACUCACAUGGUAGAUGGUGAUCUGCAAGGUAACUCACAUGGUAGAUGGGAAAAGUGGCAAAAACGAGGUACAGCAGCAAAAAGACCAGUGGGAAGUUCAGCAGGGCUUCAGUAACACACCACUGAGUUACUUCAUCAACCAGCAGCUGUAUAAUGAUUGCUCCAAGAUGGAUACACGUGUAGAGGUGAGUGUAUGGUGUGGUCAAUGUGUCCUCAGGUUUUGUCAUCAGAACCAUAUAUCAGUCUAUGGACUCUUCUCUACAUUGAUUCACAAACACAUAUGACUUACAUUAAUUAGCCUUACAUAAUGGAAUUGCAUUAGACUUAUAUAAUAAACUAUUACAGCUAGAAAACCUUAAUAGUUUUUUUUGUUAUUUUCCACAGUAUUUGUAAUAUUAGUACAGUGUUUGUCAAAGAGUAAAAAGUAUGUGUAGUUAAUGAUCUAGCAAAAGUUGAUGGAUAUUAAACUCAGCAUUGGUUGUUUGGUUCGAGUAAAAACCACAUAACCUACCCAGUACUGCAGCUGCACCACAUUGCUAGGAGGAAAGGAGGAAAACACGAUCACUACAUAUAAAAUUAUAAUGGAAUGGGCAUGGUUGACAAAGUUAGACUACUUGGCACAGAUGGUACAUGAACUUGGGGACACGGAAACUAAGUACAGGUGUGCUUCUCAUCAUUUUUUUUCUUCAGAGGCAGAGUAGUGAACAAAUGGAAAGUGCUAAGAAGCAUAGUGGGAACCUGGACACCAGAUGAUUGAAGGUUUAGAGGCUGGAUCAAAGAACAAGCUCAGCUCCCCCUCCCCCCACAAGUCCAACUAGGUGAGCACCCAUGUAUACUCAGGUCACAGGAUCUGCUGCAUAGAUUGAGAGAAAGCAGGGCAAGAGGACACAAGUGGAAGCCGGAAACGCAAAUGAGCCUAAGGAACGUACUUGUGUAAGUUGAUGUGAUCCAUCCCUCCAGGUGGUCACCCAACCUGGCCCUUCGCAGUCGGCCCUCUAGGUGGUAACUGAACCUGGCCCAUCACUAUAGACCUCCAUGUGGUCACCCAAUCUGGCCCUUUGCAAUUACUCCUCCAGGAGGCAACUGAAUCUGGCUCUUCAUUUGUUCAAUCCUCUAGAUCAUAUUCCAUCAUUGGGAGCAAUGGCUACUGUUGUCCUGACUGUACGCAAACCUGAGGGAAGCACUACUGCGACAACUGCACCCAAAAUCUACAGCACAACCACAACUGCCCCGACUGUAACAGCCGUCAGCACCAAAAAGCAACAGCAGAAGCAAAAUUGCGCCAACUGUACUCAGACUCCAUGUUGACUAACUCCUCUUUCAAUAGUAAAUAUUUUUCUAAAAUUGCAAUGUCACUAUGGGAUCUUAUCUUUCUCUGUCUCCCUCCCCUGUUCUUGCCAAUCUCUAUAUGGAAUAUUUUGAAACUGUUCUUCCUACUACUGAUACUCAUCCCUCUCUCUGGCUUUGCUAUGUUGAUAUUUUUGCUCUUUAACCUUAUGACUAGUCUUUUCCAGUCUUUCCUCUCCUCUCUAAACAACCUGGCUCUUUCUAUCAAUUCCUAGGUUGAGUCAUCUCAGCAGAAAAAACAAAGAUACUAAAUCAGCGUCCACCCAGGCAAGGAGGAGCUGUUUGCAAGAUGCAACUGUAUGGUGACUCACAACUUGACUACGAAAACAGAUACAAAUACCUUGACCUUGAGGUCCCAUUAUAUGGUCAUAUUGUAAUCAAACUCUGUCAUCAGCAUAAAGAGAGGCUCAGAGCUCUCAAGGCUCUUGCAGGUUAUCACUCAGGCUAUGGUGCCAAUGUCAGAAUUGUCAAAAUGAUGUACAGUACCUUGCAUACAUCAUAUCUUUAGUGGAUUAUACUGCACCUCUGCUUGCUUUGCUACCUGAAGAAAGCUUGGAAGGCUUGAAAAAUUGCAGAACAAAGCCUUGAGGAUUAUCUUUGGAUGCUCUUAUACCACAAAGAUACUUAAUAUGAGAAAGGAACUUAAUAUUUCAAGUGUCAUUGAUCAUGUUACUGAAAUUAACUCAAAAUGUUUAGUCUAGCUCAUUCUAACCCUGCACAGAAGCCCUCUAGAAUUUCUUUAUUAAAGGUCAACAUUGUUUAGUAUGGAUAACUAGAAUUGGAACUGAACUCAGAAUAUAUCAGAUUUAUAAUUUGUACCAGGAGAGAGAACAACACUUUCCUGCAUUGUGGGAGAUUACCCCUUUUCCAAUUUUAAUCCCAACAUUUCCACCUGAGAAGCAAAUUAAAGAUGAGGCCCAAGCUUCAUCUAGAGGCAAAGCUCAAUGCCUUAAAGCCAUAUUGAUGCUCUGUCCACAGAGCAUUUUCUCUCAAACUAUAUACACAGAUGCUAUCCUACACCGACCCAUGGGUGCAGCUGGAAGGGCAGUUGUCCUGUCAAUGGGUGAUUGCUUAUAUUUAUAUUUUAAGUGGUGAGUCCGUAUAAACAACUGAGCCUCUACCCUUCAGACCAUACUAUUUGUCUUAAUUCUUGCACUAAAAUGUAUACAAGCCUCCAAACUUCAUACAUUAAUUGUAAGUGAUUCUUAAUCAUCCUUAAUUGCACUCAACUCUUUGACAUAAUUGUAACAUGCUUGUGUCUGAAGCUAGACACAAUUACAACAUAAUUUUUAAUGAUGUCCAUUUCAUGUGGAUUCCAUCUCAUGUUGGCCUCUGAAUGCAUGAGAGAGCUGGAGUUAGCCAAAGAAUCUGCCUUCAAAGGAGUAGUUGAGUAUAUAUAACCUUAGGUUGCCUUCCUAGCAACUUGAGAACGAUACUGCACCAAGAACUUCAACAAAACCUUGUAGAUCUGAGAUACAGUGAACUUAUCUAUGCUAGCAGUUCCAUCUAUCAUACUACCAUGCAAGAAGUGACACACAUCUAUGGAUCAUCCAAACAUCCAAUAAAAUCAGGAGACUCAUAGAUGUUACUACUGCUUGACUUACUCAGUUAGAAGGAUCUCUGGGAUGUUGCAUUACCUGCUGAUGUACACCUGACCAAAUGUAAACCAUGCCAGCAAAAUUAUUCACAAUAUUUAAUUCAGAGUGAUCUACUAUGAGAAAUUUUAGCUAAAUAUCCCAUUUGCUAACUGUAGGUAAUAAAUGUGGGUGAUAGUAACCCUUCCACUGAUGCAUACUGUAUGGAGAGUGGUGUACAUAAUAAGCAAAUCAAUUAUGAAACUAGCUUAGCACAUAUGUGAGCUACUUAAUUUAGAGACUGUACUUGUGGUUGAUCUUGAACACAUGGAUAUAAUACUAAUAUACAGUACAUUAAAACAUGUAACUAGCUCAUCAAGAUUGUAACCUGCUUAGCUAACUGAAUUUAUGGAUUCAGUCCCUGAGCCCAUUAUGUACCUCUGUAAACUUUUCCACUACUGCCCACAGGAUGGGUAUGGGGUGCAUAAUAAAUUAACUAAACUAAAAUACACGUUUUUCCAUCUAAAAAUCAACCAAAAUGAAUUGCAAUUAAUUAUAUCAUAGGCUUCUUCUAGGUCUGUAUAUUUCACUAAUAAUAUUUUUUUUUGGCUAGUAUAUAUAUUCCAUCUAUGCAGGAACCAUCUAUGCAGAUAUUUGAUCUACUGUAUAUAUCUAACUAUCCUCGUUCCUCAUGAUUGUUACCCUUACACUCUUUCAUACCAUCAUAUAUCAUCUGGUAUACUCAGUAUGUUAAUCCCCAUAAUUCCCACAUUUCUACUUGUUCUAGCACUUAAUAUUAUGGCUUUAGUCAAACCAGAUGGCACUUUCAAUAUUCUCCAAAAGUGCAUAUGUAAGAAAUGGUUGUGGGGGCCUAGACUUGAAGCCAAGAGGAGUCAAUAUAUAUAGCUACGUCACCACCACCACCUGUAUAAUUUUCUUCUUCCCUUCCCAUAAUGGAAUUUUUAAAAAUUACCAUAUAAACUAAGGCUAUGGCCAUCCAAGCUGUGGUCAACCCCAAAGACACAUUCAUGAAACUCCAUACAGCAUAUUAAAAAUUGGUAUUUGAUCAUAAAAGUUAAUGUUAUGAUGGUAUUAGAAUUUGGUAUACAGUACAUUGCAGUUGGGCCUAGAUUAGGUUUGGUUAAGCAUUAGGUUCCUUUGGCAAUUAUUUGUAGUACAUAGGUGAAGCAUUUACAGACAUGCAAUUCAAACAGAAGCCCUCAGGAAAACACUGAGAAAGGUUCAAGUGCUAUCAGUUGUAAGUCAUGUGUGUAAAGUGUUUUUCUUUUACAAAUGGGGUUUGGUGACAGGAUUAAUGAGUAUUUUGCCACUCUUUAUGAGGACAGGCUGGACUCCAGAAUAUAGGCACUUAGAUCGUCAACUUCUUUAGGCAUCACCUGCCACUUAUUUUGUAAUAAAAUGAGUUUAUUUCCUAGUAAAAUUGUUUUUCCAAGUUCAACAUUCAGCACAAACAUUUUAAUCAGAAAAUGUCACAAUAAUGUAGUUUAUAUUUACAUAAAUCUAAGAGGUUUGUCCAUACACAGCCAACUAUCUACUCCCUAUCUCCAUAAACAUUUGGUAAUACCGGAUUACCCCACCAGUACAAUCAUUUACCAGAAUGCUGAAUUUUAAUAUAGGUUAUUUACGGAAAAAGGUAUCAUACAGUAUUGUUAUGCUAAACUGGAAUUAGCAUAACCCAGUCCUAGAGUUUUGGCCAUUAAAUGUAGUUCAUAUUCUUGGCCUCUAUAGUGCCAAAUAUUUUAUGUAAUCUGAUAAUAAAUUUUUCAUUUGCAAACUGAUAUACAUCUAAUUAUUUAGGUAAAAUGCCUAAAUGUUGCUUUAGUAUGUAUACAGUGGUACCUUUGUUUCGGAUCCUAAUCCGUUCCCAGAGAUGUGUCGUACACCAAAACGGAUUUUCUCCUUAAGAAAUAAUGUAAAUCCGUUCCACACCCCAAAAAUAUUAACUUAAAAAUACAUUUUAUACCGAAUACCAGUCAUUUUGGACUACAUUACAGUAUGUAUAUCUUACCCUUUAAUGAGGACUCUUGUUGGCGUAUGGAAAAUGUUGAGGAGAAGAGGUGUUAGUGUUUGGAAGGGGAGUCCCCUUUCCAUUAUAACAGCAGUGAUGACAUUUCUGGGGUACUCUCUUUACUCUCUUUCAUACGUUUUGCAAGCAUACUACUAGGACCAGGUUGUGGCUCACUGCCUGCUUGUCGUACUAAGAAUAUGUCUAUAGACACUUGUUUUUCCCUACGUUUUCACACUCUUCUGUAGCGAAACAUCACAUUGUCUCACUCUGAAUGACCUCUUGUUUUUCCUCUAUCAUCAUCCUCACAACUACUUUCUUAGGUUGAAUUUUACCAAUGUCUUUCUUGGGACCCAUGGCAUGAUAUAUAAUAAGAACUUUUUGUUAAAAAAAAAAAAAAAAAAAUGAAAUUUUUCACAAAGAAUUCAAGUGCGGUCGCAGUCGUCACUACACCAGAUACAGUACACUGGUAAAGAAAUUGAGAGCGCCUCGCCCCAUGCUCGUUUUGACCUACAGUAUAUGCGUAUCAACAGACGUCGUCUUCCAAAUAAAACAUUGUACACCAAUUCAAAUUUUACGAUGAAUUUUACGUCGUACAUCAAAAAAUUUGUACUCUAGGGCAGUUGAACACUAAGGUACCACUGUAUAUAUUCUUAUCGACAAACCAAAAGAACACAGGCAAUGUGCAAAAAAAAAAAAAAAUAAAAAAAUAAAAACAUGAAACGUGUGGCCAUUUUGGUAAUCAUGUGGGAAAUACUGACCAAUAUUAUACUGAAUAUACAAGUUCAUUUUGGUAUGUAACAAUGUACAUUAUGUUUUUGCUCUAAUGGAAUGGCUAUUGUGGAUACUCUAAUAGGAAAUAAAUGUGUUCAUGUUUAGAAGUCUGCAAUUAUGUGGGAAACUGGUAAAGUACCCAUUUGUCUAAAUAUUGGCACACAAGAAUUUGAUCACUUGGUGUAAGAGAGAGACCCUUGUGUAGGGAGAAAUAGCAGUGCUAUUGAGAGAGGCCCUUGUGUAGAGAGAAAUAGCAGUGUAUUAUGUAAGAGAGAGACCCUUGUGUAGGGAGAAAUAGCAGUGCUAUUGAGAGACCCUUGUGUAGAGAGAAAUAGCAGUGUAUUAUGUAAGAGAGAGACCCUUGUGUAGGGAGAAAUAGCAGUGCUAUUGAGAGACCCUUGUGUAGAGAGAAAUAGCAGUGUAUUAUGUAAGAGAGAGACCCUUGUGUAGGGAGAAAUAGCAGUGUUAAAUGUUGAAAAACAGUCUGGAAUUGUGUCCCCUUUCAGAUGCACAGAGCAUCAUCUCAACAGAAAAAUGUAAUCUUAAAAAAAAAAAAAACAA